UAUGUGUUUUUUUCUUAGGUUAAUUAACUAGCCAGUAUGUGAUUAUGUUGUUGACAGAAGAUAGAGGGCACAUG
rnacentral:pre_miRNA from 1 species